GUGCUUGCUUCGCCAGCACAUAUACUAAAAUUGGAACCAUACAGAGAAGAUUAGCAUGACCUCUGCACAAGGAUGACAUGCAAAUUCGUGAAGAUUCCAUAUUUUU
ensembl:snRNA U6 U6 spliceosomal RNA